CCUACGGGGGGCAGCAGUGCGGAAUAUUGGUCAAUGGACGCAAGUCUGAACCAGCCAUGCCGCGUGCAGGAAGACGGCUCUAUGAGUUGUAAACUGCUUUUGUACGAGGGUAAACGCAGAUACGCGUAUCUGUCUGAAAGUAUCGUACGAAUAAGGAUCGGCUAACUCCGUGCCAGCAGCCGCGGUAAUACGGAGGAUUCAAGCGUUAUCCGGAUUUAUUGGGUUUAAAGGGUGCGGCGGCGGUCGGAUAAGUUAGAGGUGAAAUCCCGAGGCUCAACUUCGGAAUUGCCUCUGAUACUGUUCGGCGAGAGAGUAGUUGCGGUAGGCGGAAUGUAUGGUGUAGCGGUGAAAUGCUUAGAGAUCAUACAGAACACCGAUUGCGAAGGCAGCUUACCAAGCUACUUCUGACGUUGAGGCACGAAAGCGUGGGGAGCAAACAGGAUUAGAUACCCUUGUAGUC
rnacentral:rRNA from 1 species